AGUUUGUUCAAACUGCCUGCAUUGUUGGAUUUGUUGCACAAGUUAAAGAAGAAAUCGAAAUUGUUGCACUUGACUUUCUAUGCUACUUCUGUCCUGCAUACCAUUAAAACAGAAUGGCAUGCAGUUGCUUCAUGGACAUGGGAUGCACAAGACGAAACAUGUGGGAUAUGUCGGAUGGCUUUUGAUGGUUGUUGUCCUGAUUGCAAACUUCCUGGAGAUGAUUGCCCUCUAAUUUGGGGAGCUUGCAACCACGCAUUUCAUCUUCACUGUAUAUUGAAAUGGGUGAAUUCGCAGACGAGUCAAGCUCAUUGCCCAAUGUGCCGAAGAGAAUGGCAGUUCAAAGAGUAAGCAAAUUAUAAGGAGGAUUAUAGUCUCAAGCUCUCAUCAUGGUGGAUGCUUUGGAAUGAUCUCUUGAAUCUGUAUUUUGGUGUUUGAGUUUUAAUCGUUGCACAAAGGCAAGAGAGAUUUGGGAUUAUUUUUGGAGCUUGGGGUUAGUUUGAUUGAUUGGAACAUUCAUAGAUGAAGCAACUUGGUGUAAGCUUCAUCUCUAAUCUCUAUGAUGUUUGUUUGUGUUAGUUAGUUAUUUUGUGUCAUAUCGCAUUUGAAUUUGUUAAUAUUUUGCUUGAUUUUUAUUUUUCAUUAGUUUAUUGAAACGGAAAACAUUGAUGAUGAA